UACAGAGGUCUCAAGCGUUGUUCGGAUUCAUUGGGCGUAAAGGGUGCGUAGGCGGUCUGUUGCGUCUGCUGUGAAAACCCGGGGCUUAACCCCUGGCUUGCAGUGGAUACGGACAGACUAGAGGUAGGUAGGGGAGAAUGGAAUUCCCGGUGUAGCGGUGAAAUGCGCAGAUAUCGGGAGGAACACCGGUGGCGAAGGCGGUUCUCUGGGCCGUUACCUGACGCUGAGGAGCGAAAGCGUGGGGAGCGAACAGG
rnacentral:rRNA from 1 species